rnacentral:lncRNA from 10 species
UUCCUGAAUAUAUCACAUGUGGUGAUAAACAUGAAGAUGUAUGAAAAAUUGUGUUCGUUGAGAGAAAAUGGAAGGCUUUUCAUUCUACUUCCACAUUUUCAUUCCAGCAGCUUUUCUGUUUUGGAAGAUGAGUACUGAAUCUUGCAAUGAAAUUUUUUUAACUUAAACAAGACAAGGAAAAUGAAGCGCAGAGACGUUAAAUAACUCUCUCAAGGUCAUGCAGCUGAGAAGAGAUGAGACUUGAACUCCAGUGCCAGCCCUGUUAAUCACUAUUCUGUACUGUCUUUCAGAUGGAAUGAUAGGGUAUGCAUAAAUGUUCAUGUGGGCUCUGGAGUAUACCAGGAACUGAAGUAAGGUACAUGGACGUCUUGAAUAUUGUAACUGAGAUGGGCAAGCCUACACCUUUGCAAAUAAAGGAGGAUUGGGAAAGAUUAAGAUCCUGUUAAACGUCAGUGUUACUAUUUAGCCUUUGAUAUCUCCAGUAAAGGCAACUUCUUUCUGGACCCAGAAAUAAAGCUUUACAUUAGCAGCUUCCAUAACACCAAUAACAUGAAUGACCAUCUACUGAGCAAUUGCAGUGCACCAGGAUUAUGGCUUAUGAGCACUUUAUGUUUAUUAUCUCACAACUCACUGAGUUAGAUACUCUCCACAACCCAGUGAGCCUCUCAAGCACUGUGAAAAAUCACUUUCUCUUGUUGUAUUCUUGGAGCCCCUGCUAAUUCAUUAUUGAAAAAUACCUGCUGCCUGCAUUUGGCCUUAUGUUGUCAUUUACUUGGGUCUGUGCAUGGCGUUUAGAAGGCUACACCUUAGGCUGGGGGUCAAGAAUGUCUUCCCUGAUGUGAGGUUUACACAGAGAUCUGAAGAAUGAAGAGUCCAGCUAAGUACUUCCUAAGCGUGGCUACUCCAAUGAAGCUUUAGUAUAUGUACUGAAAGAAGAUCCUCUCAUACUGCCACAGCCAAGAGAUAAGGUUGUAAAUCUUUAUUGGGAGAAGCCGUCAAGGACAGUUCUGUGAAAUGAAAGGAUCUCUGGAUCACCACAAAGUCUGGCUCAGUGACUAUGGCUUUGCAAACACUAAACAUUCCUGUCUCAAGUCCUGUAGAUGGCUUGAAAUAGUAUACAUAAGCAUGCCUUAUAAACAUCUUCAGUCUUUAUCAACUCUUUGGAGAUUCAGCCAUUCUUUUUUGUACUUUAGGGAAUUAAAUCAUUUUAUAAUGUAUAAAUCUGAGCAUGGCCGAUGGCAGAAGAAAUUUUGUCAUACGUUUUUAAAGAAAUAAAAAUGUAUUAUGUUUUAAAAUUC